rnacentral:lncRNA from 8 species
AGAAGACUAACAGAUGAACUGUCAGUAUACUCAGUUGAACUGUUGAAGAUAGUAGUUGCCCUCCAGUGGGUGGAGGACGUUACAACCUGUUAGAAUUGUAGUAUGCUCAUAUUCUCUGUCUGUAUUGAAUAGUUUAUCAUCUAGUAAAUCUAAUAGGAGUGACCUACUAUUGGUUCUUUGCUUCUUUGCUCGCUUUGACGUGGCACUGACACUGACAGUGCCACUGAUGUUCCACAAUAAAGUGCCACUGACACGGCCCGCUACCAAAACCUGCGGGCUCUCCUUCCCCGCAGCCAACGUGAGUAAAACAUUUAAACGUGUUAACCCUCGCAAGGCUGCCGGCCCAGAUGGCAUCCCUAGCCGCGUCCUCAGAGCAUGCGCAGACCAGCUGGCGGGUGUGUUUACGGACAUAUUCAAUCAACCCUUAUCCCAGUCUGCUGUUCCCACAUGCUUCAAGAGAGCCACCAUUGUUCCUGUUCCCAAGAAAGUGAAGGUAACUGAGCUAAAUGACUAUCGCCCCGUAGAACUCACUUCUGUCAUCAUGAAGUGCUUUAAGAGACUAGUCAUGGAUAAUAUCCCCUCCACCCUACAUGACACCCUAGAUCCACUCCAUUUUGCUUACCGCCCCAAUAGGUCCACAGACGACGCAAUCACACUGCACACUGCCCUAACCCAUCUGGACAAGAGGAAUACCUAUGUAAGAAGGCUGUUCAUUGAUUACAGCUCAGCAUUUAACACCAUAGUACCCUCCAAACUCGUCAUUAAGCUCGAGACCCUGGGUCUCGACCCCGCCCUGUGCAACUGCGUCCUGGACUUUCUGACGGGCCGCCCCCAGGUGGUGAGGGUAGGAAACAACAUCUCCACCCCGCUGAUCCUCAACACUGGGGACCCACAAGGUUGUGUGCUCAGCCCUCUCCUGUACUCCCUGUUCACCCAUGACUGCGUGGCCAUGCACGCCUCCAACUCAAUCAUCAAGUUUGCAGACGACACUACAGUGGUAGGCUUGAUUACCAACAACGACGAGACGGCCUACAGGGAGGAGGUGAGGGCCCUCGGAGUGUGGUGUCAGGAAAAUAACCUCACACUCAAUGUCAACAAAACAAAGGAGAUGAUCGGGGACUUCAGGAAACAGCAGAGGGAGCACCCCCCCAUCCACAUCGACGGGACAGUAGUGGAGAAGGUGGAAAGUUUUAAGUUCCUCGGCGUACACACAGACAGCGUGGUGAAGAACAACUGUCCCAAAGUAUGCUUGGAAUAUUUAUUUCUUGCAUAGAAGGACAAGUUGGCCAAUAUAAUAAGUCAACUUUUGUACUAUGG